rnacentral:rRNA from 1 species
CCUACGGGAGGCUGCAGUGAGGAAUAUUGGUCAAUGGCCGAGAGUCUGAACCAGCCAAGUAGCGUGAAGGAUGACUGCCCUAUGGGUUGUAAACUUCUUUUAUAUGGGAAUAAAAUGAUCCACGUGUGGGAUUUUGUAUGUACCCUAUGAAUAAGGAUCGGCUAACUCCGUGCCAGCAGCCGCGGUAAUACGGAGGAUCCGAGCGUUAUCCGGAUUUAUUGGGUUUAAAGGGUGCGUAGGUUGUUUGUUAAGUCAGUUGUGAAAGUUUGCGGCUCAAACGUAAAAUUGCAGUUGAAACUGGCAGUCUUGAGUACAGUAGAGGUGGGCGGAAUGCGUGGUGUAGCGGUGAAAUGCUUAGAUAUCACGAAGAACUCCGAUUGCGAAGGCAGCUCACUGGACUGCAACUGACACUGAAGCUCGAAAGUGUGGGGAUCAAACAGGAUUAGAUACCCUAGUAGUC